UUAGGUGAUCCUGGGAUGAGCCUCUCCCUGGAAUCAGCUGCUCCCAGGAUGAGUUUCUCCCUGGAAUUCAGUGAUCCCAGGAUAAGGCCCUCCUGGGAUAAGGGGAUUCCAGAGGUUCUGCUGGACCGGGGUGGUUUCGGGAUGAGGAUCAGCCCGGCCCUGGGUGCCUCUGGAAUGAGGAAUUCGGGACGGGGCGCUCCCAGGACAAGGUUCUCCCGGGACAAAGUUCCCCCUGGGAUGAGGCGAUCCCGGAAUCAGGCGCUCCCGGGAUGAGCUUCUCCCGGGAUCUCCGGGCUCAGGCGGCUCCCGGGCUCCUCUCAGCUCCCCAGGAUGGAAUUUUCCAGGCUCGGGUGCUCCCAGGACAAGGUUCUCCCGGGACAAAGUUCCCACAGUCAGGUUUCUCCCGGGAUCAGGUUUUUUUCCCGGCUCCUCAGGCUGGAAUUUUCCAGGCUCAGGUGUUCCCAGGAUGAGGUGAUCCCAGAAUUAGGUUGCUCCCGGGAUCAGGAUUUCCUGGGAUCGGUUUUCCAAGAUCAGGCUCUCCCAGCUCCUCUCUCUCCCCUGCCCAGCAGGGAAUUUUCUGGGAUCGGGCUCUCCUGGGAUCGGCUUUUCCUGAUUCCAGGUUCUCCCGGCUCCCCUCAGGACUGGAAUUCUCUCAGAUCGGGCUCUCCCGGGAUCAGCUUUUCCCGGGAUCGGGCUCUUCCGGGCUGGAAUUCUCUAGGAUCGGGCUCUCUCGGCUCCUCUCUUCCCCUCCCAGGAGGCUGGAAUUCUCUGGGAUCGGGCUGGAAUUCUCAGGGAUCAGCCUCUCCCGGCCCCUCUCCCUCCCCUCCCCGGGAUGGAAUUUUCCUCGGCCGAGGGACAAAGGGACAAAGUCCGGGAGCCGGGAAGGGGCCCUGGAGGGUCCCUGGGAACGGGAUUCCCCCUCCCGGGGCGGGGCCGGGAGUGGGGAAAGAUCCUCCCCAUUCCCAGUGCCCUCAUUCCCAGAGUUCCCAUUCCCAGGAUCCCUCAUUCCCAAUAACCCCCAGUCCCAGUCCCCUCCCAUUCCCAGUGUCCCCUCCUGUUCCCAUUAUCCCCCAUUCCCAGUGUUCCCAUUCCCAGUGUUCCCAUUCCCAUUGUCCCCCCAUUCCCAGUUCGCCCCCAUUCCCAGUGUUCCCAUUCCCAGUUCCCCCCUAUUUCCAGUGUCCCCCCUCUUUCCCAGUGCCCCCAUUCCCAAAAUCCCCCUUUCCACCUCCCCUCCCAUUCCCAGUGUUUCCAUUCCCAGUCCCCCU
rnacentral:lncRNA from 1 species